UAUUUAUAGAUUCAAAUGGUUUGAAGAACGGUGGAUUGUGGCAUGGAUUUAGAAAUGUAUGUUUACCAGUAGCAAACUGCAGAGGCAGAUAUUUUCCCGUGAUAAAAGGUUUAACGGGAAUGGACUACAGUGUGCCUAACUAUGAUCAAUUAUAGACUUAAGGCAUGUUAAAUGAGACAUCUGGUGGAAUGAUGGCUCAGCCUUGGAAUGACAUUUUGAAAAUUCAAUCUGGAUGACUACGUGUAUUAACAACUAUCAACAAAAACUGAUGUUUCUUUCUAAUCUACCAUUUUGGAACUUGAAAUCAAUUUUAUAAUUUAUAUUUGUAUUUCAAAGAUAUGGCGCAUUAUUAUUAAUCUUGUUGUAAUCAGGGGUGUACAGAAUUUCACAAUGGUGUGGAAAAUUCAUACACCCGGUGGAGCAUCCGAAAGGUGUAUGUAUUUUCGACACCAGAGUAGAUUCCGUACACCUGUGAUACCAUCAAGAUAACAAAUGUAUUUAUUUUGAAGCGUUUCUAUAGUCAGUGUAAAAUUAAAAAUGCUUAUGAAGAUAUCCCACAACAACAUUUUUAUCAACUACGAUGUUGCUGAGCAUUGUAAAGUUUUAUUUACUUUUCUUUAUUUCUGGAAUUUUUGGCAAAAUGUUAUCUUUUUUGAACAUUUGUCAAAAAUUCUAUCACAGGUGAAAAAGGAUGGGGUGUUUUUUACAAUAAAUUAACCAACAAUAUUUCAGGAUUCUUCCUUCAUAAGAAAUGAUAAGCAUUAACUAAGUCUGUUUUAUUUAUGUAUCAGUUUGUAUAUUAUUUUUCAAAUGUAAUCAAUGAGUAAUUAAAGUGUUUACUAGUCAACUUCUGAAAAGAUACAAUACUACAGAAUAUGUUAGAAAUCAAUGUUUCAUCAAAACAAUUCAGAAAAUGCAAUUAAUGUGUUUAAUCUUAAGAUGCACAUGAGAAAACGAACACAAUAUGUAAUUUCAUAUUGUGUUAUGUAGCCGACAAAACUGACGAAACUACGGCUUUACAGCUUAGUCAUAUACAUCCACUAUACAAGUUUGAUUGAAAUAAACUGAGUUGUAACUUUCUUUUUGAGGAGUGGUAGUAGCUGUUUAGACAUUUUCGAUUCGUUUGAGCAAGAAUGUUCACGUCUUAAAUUCCGUCCCACAAAUGCUACAUUAGAAAUUUAUUCAGUUUAAAAUAAUUUAAGAUCUUCUGCUUAGCUGUGAAUUUGUAUGCGUAAAGUUUAUUUCAAAUUAAAAUCUUCUGUUUGCAUGUUUAUGCUGCAAUAAGAAAUAAUAUCAUUUCUAAAAAAACCGACAUCAAUUAUUCAAAAAAACAUUUGUGUAUCUUUACUUUUGUUGGCUAGUAAAUCUAAUCAUUGCUGUUUUAUGAAGACAGCUGCGAUUUGUAUUUACUGUAAUGUUAACAAAUCUCCAAUACAUUGUGUAUUAUUGAUAUUAAUGAAUAAGCAAGUAAAACUUUGAAUUACAUUUUAUCAAAUAUGUAAUAAAUACAAACACCAGCAGAAUAAGCAAAGUGCCGUUUGAGGUGUAUAUUUUCCAUGUUUCACAAGUGUCCUUUGUAGUAAAAAAGGACUUGAUUGGACUGAUAGUUAGUUUGUAUUGUAUAUUUCAUA